AAGUCGUAACAAGGUCUCCGUUGGUGAACCAGCGGAGGGAUCAUUGCUGGAACGCGCCCGGCUCGCCCGGGAACCCUGCGAACUCAUACCUACCGUUGCCUCGGCGCAGGCCGGCCUCUCCUGAGGCCCCUCGGAGACGAGGAGCAGCACGCCGGCGGCCCGCCCAACCCUUGUUUUUACACCGGAACUCUGAGCAACACACACAAAUGAAUCAAAA
rnacentral:misc_RNA from 1 species